GCCCGGCGUCCAGCCCCGGGCCGCGCUCUGGAGGGCGCUCGGGGCCGGAGGCUGCGUCCGUUCGUGCCGCCGGCAGGCUCCCUUUGGAGGACGGAGGAGCAGCCGGAGAGCUCGCCCGUGGUCCUGUGUUAUGUAAACGGCCGUGGGCCGGCCGCUCCGGGCUUGGACGGACUCCCUGAGGGUGUGGGUCCCAAACGGCCUACAGCCCACGGGGGAGACCGCGCCUCGAGCUCGGCCUGUCCGGGGGAGGCCCGCGGGCCGGGGCUGGGUCGACUUGGCCCGCACGGGUGGGGCUCCGCGGGUUGAAGGCCCGCUCUCCUCUCUGCUGUGGUCGGUUGCCGUCGCCAGCAGAGGUGCAGGCUCGUUGGAGAGGUGCCCUGCUUCUGGGAGCCGCAGACAGGACCGGGGGCCCCGGAGCCCUGGACGCUAAGCUUCUGACAUGACAGCUCUGUUUCGAAGGGGGGGUACCCAGGCGGCAAGUGAACCACCGUCAGGUUCAGUUUUAUUAACUAAAAAGAAAAAUUCUUACUGAUCACAGGUGAUCACAUAUAAAGUCGAUACCUUAACUGAGGGAAGGAGUAAAAACGGGCGAACUCCCUGCAAGUGCGGUUUGGCAGGCAGCUGCCUCUCCCAGGGGAGACCGGAUAUCGCCCGGGGGCAUGUGAUUUUCGGUAUUUAGAAUUCUUACUUGUAGCACAGGGGGGACUUGGGUGUCUUUCAUAUUGGCUUAGAAUUAUAUGCUUACUUUCACCCCAGUAAUAAAUCAAUUUUCUUGCCUUUUAGAUGAGAAACUCAACUGUGGUUACUGGCAUUUGAUUGAAAAUGAAAGUAAGGCCAUCAUCAUAAUGUUUACACCUCCAGUACACAAAGGAGAAUGACGUGAAAAAGCUUAUUGAGAAAAUUUCAGAGUAACGGUUGCAGCAGUCUUUGGAUAUCUGUUUUGUAGGACUUGUUGGUAACAGUUUUAGGAGUUACAGGUAUAGUAAGGGAGUACUUUAGUGUUUAUUCAGUGCACAAAAAACUUCCUGUGGUAAUCUUUAGGAGUUUCAACAGUGAUACUGUUUACUCUUAUCUAGUUGCUUGGAGUCUAGAAAGAACUUAGCAUUCAUUUGAGCUUGGACGUGGUUUGCAGAUCUCAUUAUUAUUGAUAGUUGUUUGGUAUCUUGUGCCUGAGAAGCCUCAGUAAUUGAAAAUUUACUUUGGCCUGCUGAGCUUAUCUUUUUAAGCAGCCUCCUGAGGCAGUUUGUUGGUUAGCAAGGCUUAAAUGUGCCUUUUCUUGUUGGAAAUUUUCUCUUUAGUGACCUUAAUGAACUCUUAAAUUUGUUUAGAUUUUAUGGAGUCCUCAGAGAGCAGCAUUUGAAGUAGAUUUGCUGUUGUAUCUGGCUUCCAUUCGCUCCCCUGCUUGCUUUUCCGCCACCAGGGCUCCUUGGUUGUGACUUAGGGUUGCCAGAUUAAUAGCAGAAAAAUCGGCGGAUUGCAUCUUUUAGGUAGGUUCCCAAAUACCAGCAUGCUCUCAGAUCUCUCUCCAGUCUUCCUGUCAGCAGCCUCAGUCACAGGUAAUAAAUCCACCCAGGACGGUAGCCAAAAUAUGACCAUCACAAUUAAUGGUGUCAGAUGCUGCCAUAGUAGUUGUUGCUUAGACCCCAUUUAGAGUGGGACAUUCUGAAUCUGUGACAAGUCCAGCUCAUACUUUGUAACCUUAGUGUUUGAAUUAGACACAGUGAAGGCUAUGCUUGAAAACUCUUUCAUUACCAAAUUUUUGUUUUUUAAAAAAUUCUUUGACGGCAUGUGUUUUCAGUAUUGGAAUGCACAAUUACUAAUAGAAUGUGUUUAAAUUUUUGGUGGGUAAUACGGAUUUUGGGGCCCUGGUGGCAUAGUGGUUAAGCAUUUGGCUGCUAACGAAAAGGUCGGCCGUCUGAAUCCACCUUGGCAACCACAUGGGGCAGUUCUACUCGGUCCUGUAGGGUCGCUAUGCGUUGGAAUUGGCUUGAUGGCAGCGGGUUUGGGGGUUGGUUAAUAGGGAUUUUGAGAAGUAUGAUUUGGUAAUGUGAGCCACCAAAAAGGCAAGCGCCGCUCUGGCACCACUGAUCUGUGGUAUAACAAAUGCAACGGUAAGAACCAGAGAGCUUUUUGCAGGCAUCUUCCGGCUAGAUUACAUGCGGACCCUCUAGUUUUCCAAAUAUGACACUGAAAAAUCAAAACAAACCCAUCAGGGCUCCCUAACUAUCACACCAAAAAGCCAUAAUUAUGCUUGCAAGCCUUAUCUCACAGAAAUAAAUUUUUAAAAAGGCGAAAGUUUACCAAACUAACACAUCCGGGGAGCAUCACCUAAUAGAAUGUUCAGCUUGUGCAACCCUGAGUCUCCAGCUCUGGUCUGCUGAGCUCCAUGCAUUUCAGAAAAGACCCACCUUGUCACUAAAUACAUGAGAACUGGAAUAACAUGCUAUCUGUGAAGUCCAGAGGCAUAAACAGGACUGGCAUACCAUUAAACCACUGGUAACGAGCCAUUGACUCAUGGAUUCGAAAAUUAACUGGGGACAGUCAUAUGGGAAAGAUGCCCUUUUCCUCUUGAAAGAAACUGUAUUUGCCUUUUCCUUAGGUAUUUUUAGGUUAUUCUGCCAUAAUCUGUAAGGAAAGUAGAUGGUGAGAGCAAGAAAAGACUACACAGUAGAACAAGGAAUUGGCCUGGAACCCAAAAGUGGCCCUGGAGGUGAACAGGCAGGAACGCCUUCCCCUGGCCCCCAUCAUACUGUGUUUGCAGGCUCACCUUUCUCUUUUUAAAGAUCUCAGGAGUCAUCUUGCAGAAAAAUAUCAAGUAUCAUUUAAUGGCUCCUGCCUUUCCUUGCUCCUCAUUAUGGUAAACCUUGACUAUCAGCUCUGACAAUUUGGAGAGAUUUGUAGCACAGUACAUGAGGGAGAUAAUUCUUUGAGAGAACGUGUUUAUGCAGCUCAAUACUAGCCUCAGUUAAACUCGAACGGUUCUUUCUGUUGCCAAGUAAGUGAGGUUAAGGUUAACGAAAAAGUGCACCUAACUAUGCUGAUGUUCCCUCCCCCCGGGGCGGGGGGCUUGAGAGCAUCCUUAACAUUGAAACCGAUGUUAGAGUUCACCCUCAACAACCUCUUCCUUUUGUACCUGAAGAAAACCAGUGGGGCCUGGAGAGGUGAAGGUCAUGGUCCACCUAGUGGCAGAGCCUGGACUGGUACCUUUAACCUCUAACAGAAGAUAAUGGAGGAGCAAAAUGGUGUGGAUUCUUCCAACCUCGAAUAGCCAUCAUUUCCAGCUCUAUGAAGUGGACCAAGAUUGUGAGUCAAGAGGGAUAGUGUAUCCUUGCAAAUGUUUUUGAAAACUCAUAAGCUUCAAAAAUUAUAUACAUGCACGUAAUUUUGGAUUGGGUCCUCUCGGUGUCAAAGUUUCACUCAGUUUUCUUCUGGGAUGCCUUCAGUUUGUUUCAUAACAGAUCAGUCCCCCAGAUACUUCCUGUGGAAUUUUAUUGAGGAUAGUAAACUUAGGCCUUGAGCUGCUUCAUUAAUAACCAUAGUGUCUGCAUGUCUUAGGGGAAGUUUAUAUGUUGGUCUAAAUAAGUAGAAUAAAUCCUGGAAAAUCUGUGUACAUAAAGGUUUAUUUUAAAUGGCCUAUGAAAUCUCAAAGCAGCUUUGCAAGUGAGAUAUUGGUUAACUAAGAAACCUUAAGUGCCUAUCACCUCUUUGUUUGCAAGGCUUAUAAGGGUUCUUAGAGGCAGGACGAAAAGGAAUCUGGGGGAGUAUAUCUUGAUAGACAUUUAGAGCAGUAUUUGUUUCCAUUUUUCAGUAUUGAUUUGCUUCUUAACCGUAUAAUGGCGCAGUGGUUAAAGCUUUUGGCUGCUAACUGAAAGGUCGUUGGUUUGAACCUCUGGAGAAAGAUGUGGCAGUCUGCUUCUGUGAAGAUUACAGCUUUGGAAUCCCUGCGGGGCAGUUCUGCUCUGUCCUACAGGGUCAGAAUCGACUCAAAGGCAAUGGGUUUGGUUUCUUUUUUUAAUACCAGACCCUCUGUGCUGAGCCCUCAUGGUACAGUGGUUAAAACACACAGCCACAAACAUACAGGUUGGCGGUUUGAACCCAGCAGCAGCUCUACGGAAGAAAGACUUGGCAGUCUGCUCCCUGUAAAGAUUUUAGCCUGGGAAACCCUGUGGGGCAGUUCUACUGUGUCCUUCAGGGUCGCUAUAAGUAGGAAUCCACUGGCGGUACCCAACAACAUGCUGAGCUGUAGAGGUGGGUCCGUGCCCUUUAGUUGGUAGUCUGUUGAGGCAGAAAUAGUAAACAGAUAAUUACCGCGUUGAGGAAAUAAUUGCUCUUAUGGGCCAUUGUUCUGCAUUGGUAAUGCCUUCAGUACCCUGUGAAAACAGCUAUCUAAUUAAAAAAAAAAGUGAGGUGUCAGCAUAUACUGUAUAUUCUCAAUUUCUCCAGGCUUAUCUGGUUUUUCCUUGCAACCGGCCUAGACUUUAACGACCUUCCUACAGGACUUUGGUGCUACUCUGUUACCUUAAAAAAGUCACUUGUCUUCUUCAUGCCCCAGUGGUCCCACUUUUAAUAAAAGUAAUCAUUCUUAUCUUUCCCUUUUGUGCCUUAUGUAUUUUGGGGAUAAAUCCAGAUAAAAGACAUACUUAGGAAUGUAUCUGCAUAACCCGGGGACUGCCUUAGCCAUGAAAUAAUCUACACUGAUGAAAUGGAAGAUUUUAUGAUGAUGAGGGUUGGUAGUUAAGUCUGGGUUGCAGGGCACCUUUUCUGGGGUUGGGUAGCUGCCCUAGGGAGAGACCUUAAAGCUGGGAGGGGUAAGAAGAGGGACCCUAAGGAGACACUCCCAAAGGAGAGGGCUAUUAUAGCUUCAGCCUUCAGAACUACCUGAGGCCAGGGCUCACCCUGGAAAGAAAGGAGUCUUUUUUUUCUCCAUCUCAAAGAGCUUAAAGCAGAGCCUUUUCCAGCUUCUGUAAGAUGAUAAAAAUAAACAUUUAUUUAGAAACCCUACUAAAUUCAUAAUUUUUGCUUGUUCUUUCUUUAAUCAAAAGAUACUAAAAGGUAUAUUGCCGUCUUAGGUUUUCAUGACUUUAAAUAGAAGUCUUAAUACUCAAAGGAUGAGAUACAUUUUAUAUUUAUCCUCAUUUAUUGAAUAGGAAUACGUACUGGUAGAAAUCUAUGAGUUUGUAAUCUUCUUGGUCUAUAGCAAAUAUGUUUAAACUUAGUAAUUUGUCUUGUUGUUGUUAUUAGGUACCACUGAGUCAACUCUCACUAAUGGCAACCCUGUGUACAACAGAACAGAGCACUGCUCAGUUCUGAGCUAUGCUCACAAUCGUUGUUACUAUGUUUGAGCUCAUCGUUGCAGCCACUGUCGGUCCAUCUCAUUGAGGGUCUUCCACGUUUUCGGUGACCCUGUAUUUUGCCAAGCAUGAUGUUCUUCUUCAGGGACUGGUCCCUCCUGAUAACAUGUCCAGAGUGAGACGAAGUCUCAUCAUCCUCUCUUCUAAGGAGCAUUCUGGCUGUACUUCCUCCAAGACAGAUUUGUUUUUUCUGGCAGCCCAUGGUAUAUUCAGUAUUUUUCACCAACACUAUAAUUCAGAUGCAUCAGUUCUUCUUCAGUCUUCCUUCUUGUCCAGCUUUUGCAUGCAUCUGAGGAGACUGAAAAUAACCGUGUCUUGGUUGGGCACACCUUAGUCCCCAAGAUGACAACUUUGUUUUUUCAUACUUUAAAGAGGUCUUUUGAAGCAGAUUUGCCCAGUGCAAUACAUGGUUUGAUUUCUUUCUUCUUCUUCUUUUUUUUUUUUUUUUUUACUGUGCUUUAAGUGAAUGGUUUGAUUUCUUGACUGUUGCUUCCAUGGGCUUUGAUUGUAAAUUCAAGUAAAAUGAAAUCUUUGACAACUUGAGUAUUUUCUCCAUUUAUCAUGAUGUUGCUUAUUGGUCCAUUUGUGAGGAUUUUUGUUUUAUGUUAAGGUGCAAUCCAUGCUGAAGGCUGUAGUCUUUGAUAUUCAUCAGUAAGUGCUUUGUUGAAUCCUCUUUGCUUUCAGCAAGCAAGGUUGUGUCAUCUGCAUAGCACAGGUUGUUAGUAAGUCUUCCUCCAAUCCUGAUGCUGCGUUCUAGUAAAAGAAUACAACCCUGUUGCACACCUUUCCGGAUCCUAAACCACGCAGUAUCCCCUCGUUCUGUUUCAAUGAGUGCCUCUUGGUCUACGUAGAGAUUUGCAUGUCUUAGAAGCCGAUGUAAAGAAAAAAAAACCUUGGGUGGGAGCAUAGAGCCUAUCUGGCUGUGUUUGGAUAUCAUGAGAUUCUUUCAAUCCUUUUUUUGAAAGAUGAUGCUAAACAUUUUUUAAAAAAACACAAAUGAAAUUGGCAGCAAUACUAGAAUAAAUUCACAUCCAUAUAGUUCAUAGCAUCUUUUUCCUGGAAGCACCAGGACAAGCACCUUCUCAGGAAGUUCGUGACUUUGAUAAUUUAUUUGCCAACCGUGAGAAAUGUAUCCUACACAGUAAGUCAAGGUGCUUUUAUUAAUAUUUUGGUAGAAAGUUUUAGACAACAUAGCUGUCUAAAUUAUAUAGAUGUGUAUCGCCCUGUGUAUGACAUGCCUCUCCAACUAAUUGUCAGCUUGUCGAGAACAGGACUGGGCUUGUUUUCCUGUAUUCCCUAGAGCCUAGUACAAUUGUUGGAAACAUAAAUGAUUGAUGAUGUUAAAAAGGGGAAUCGGGAGAUAUUCUCAGAAAAGUACUCAGCAGUAGACUUUGUGAUUUAAACUUUGCUUUUAGGCACUGAGCAAAAUGAUUGACAACUCAGACAACAGCAUUCUUUCCAUAAUCAUUUUCUCUUCUUGGAUACUUUCUUUUCUCAGGCGUGUUGUCAUUGAAAAGCUGGAAGAAGAAAGAAAAUUGUAUUGAACAGCCUGUGGUUUAUAAUGAAUUCCUAUACUAACUUAACAAAUUAUGUCAAAUUCAUAAAAAUUGACCUGAAUAUUAUGAGUGGUAGAAGUCCUUGGAGAAACGAUUCGUUGUCCAUCCCACCCAGUUAAUUUCCGGACCAUAUCUGAGACUGCCAACCCAGGGUCCCAGUCCCUUAACUAGGAACUCUGGUGUUCUGGCCUUGUGUUAGACCACCUGAGAGAUCAGAACAAAGAGUGGAAGAUGUCCGACUUAUCCGAGAGCAGCAUCCUACCAAAAUCCCGGUAGGUAGCCUCAGCCCUCUGUUACAGCAGGAGAGAGCACCGUUGACCUAGAACCACCCUACAGGGGCCUCCGGAGGAGUACGCAGACUCUUCAACACCAUGUGCCAGUGCGGGACCUUGGGUUGAGAUGUCUUAAUCUACAGUUUUGUUUUUUAAAGUAACUUUUAGAAGAGAUCAGUUUCCCCUCUAUCCAUAUUUAAUCACUCUUUUCUCUGCAUUUGCUGCCUUAAUGUUACACACUUCACAAAUCAAAUGUAUUCAUUUGGGAGGAAAGGGGUCAGGGGCUAGAACUGUUAGUGUUUUAAUAAUGGAAGGAAGUAUUUGGUUCAAGGAAGCAGAGAUGACUGCUGUGAGGUUCAGUAGUGCUCAAAAUGUGAACAUCACUGCAGGUCAAGGCUGCCUGACUUUGAAUUGAGUAGGUGCCCCAAAGAAGUCUCUUCUUAGACUUGGCUUUUUUAAAAAGCAGGAGGUGGAGAUGACUCUGCUCUUUCUUGUCACAUGCAGGGGCGUCAGACGCUACUUGCUGAGGCUAGCUCAUGGCUUCCUCCCAACCAUCAGGCCUAGAGAGAAAUGGUUCAGAAGAACCUACCUUUGUUUUCAGACAGAGCUGAAGUCAAGUCCUCGGUUUGAGGUUAUUUCUAAGUGACCUUAGGCUAUUUAUUGAAAUUGUGCAAGGAGCUGCAGCUUCCUCAUCUGCAAAAUGGAAAGAAAAUCCCACCCCUAUGGGUGUUAAAAGAUUUGCAUAAUUCUGGGCACAUGGUAGUCACUUAAUGUUAGCUGAAAUCACCUCUUCCUAAUUCUGCAGACCACUUGGAAAGAAAUUCCACCACUAAAUUCUGUGGAAACUUAGCUUUUGGCUUUCUGACUGGUUAUCAUGCCCCAGAGAAAGGGGGAGGAAGAUCUGAGAUGCCGGCAUUGCAGUGGCAUUGUUGAGCUGGUCGUGUUGAUGCUUUGAAGAGCAUAAAAGGAGCAAAGAUCUGUCUGCUUGGCAUUUCACAACUGAAUCUACAGUAAAAAGUGUGGUGUUCUCUGAUUUCACUGGCCUGGCUGGAUAGUUCACAGCCUGUCUUUGCACUUGGGGGUCAUUCUGUGGCCCAGGGGGUGAGCCUUCUGGGUAGAGUCCUUUGAGUGUGGUCAGGGGGCUACAUCUCAGAGACCUUCUACCUAUUAAUAGACCAUGUGUUCCCUGGCGCUUUUAAGAAGCAAGCAAAUAACAUUUUAAAAAAUAUCCACUAACGUUGUACAAGGUUUGAAGUAAUUGGGUGCUUUUUCGGCUUUUCCUUCUCCCCAGCCUGGUCUCUCCUGUUGAGCCAGCGUGGUUCUCAGACCAUGCCCUUUAGGACCAGAGCUUCACCACAGAACCUUCCAGAAUAAUGCUGGUCCACCUGUACUUUGCAGGAGAAAAUUACUAAGUAAUUUUCAGGUUUUUCUUUGCUUGGAGUACUGCUGUGUCUCUUUGCAGGCACAUGCUCAUAGCUGGAAAUAAAUAGCCAGCCAAACAGCUGAUAAACGAGCACUCUUCACAAGACAGCUCUAAGGAGACUAAGGAAUGUGCUGGUUUUUAAUCCCAUUUUGGUAUGUGCCAGGUACAACAUGGGAGGCAUUUUCACUGUUAAAAAAUCAGCAGAAGUGUUACCACUUUUCUGGCUUCUUUUUCUAGGUGAUAAUAGAAAGAUACAAGGGAGAGAAGCAGCUUCCUGUCCUGGAUAAAACCAAGUUCCUUGUGCCGGAUCACGUC